UUGACCUCGGAUCAGGUAGGGAUACCCGCUGAACUUAAGCAUAUCAAUAAGCGGGAGGAAAGAAACCAACAGGGAU
rnacentral:rRNA from 1 species